GAGGUUAUAGCUCAGUGGUAGAGUGCUUGCCCAGCAUGCAUGAGGUCCUGGGUUCAAUCCCCAGUACCUCCU
rnacentral:tRNA from 1 species